AAAAAAAAAAAAAAAAAAAAAAGUUGGAUAUAUUGAUAUAAGGUUAGCCUUUUCUCAAUUAGCCAACUUUUCCCAAAUAAGAACGUGACAACAACAACAACAAAAAGAACAUGACAACAAAAUAGCUACCAUCUGCUCUCACCAUCAUUUCAUAAGAAAAAGGACUUUAUAACAUCAAAGAUCCAGUAAGGGCUGCAACUCUGAUAAAGGCCAGUCAAAAUGGAAUGUAUUUUGCUUUCUGGAAAAAUCACAGCAGACAGUACCGUGGGGCAGUACUGGUGUGUGGGCCCCAGUUUCAAACAAUCCUUCCCAAGCCUGUGUUUCUCAAACACCAGCUGCCAGUCCACCAGGCUUUAAAUCUAGACCUUGCCGCUUGCUGGCUGUGUGACCUCGGACCAGUUUACCUGACUUCUCAGGGCCUCAGUUUCCACAUCUGUAAAAUGAGUGGGAGCUGUAAUAAUGAUCCUCACCUUCUAAGGUUGCUGUGAAGAUUGAGCCGGUGCAUGGGCGGUGCCUGCCGCCUAGAAAGUGCUCGGUGUACGGCAGUUGCCUGUAUUUUUACCUCCCAUGGGGAUGAUAAGGUCCACAGAUUUAUUGUGGAGGGCAGGCAGGCCUUUAACUUAGGUUUAUGGAAUGUCAGAGCUGGAACGGGCCUUCUGAGAUCAUCUACAGAGGAAUCCUCUUACAGAAAGAGAAAGGGAGUCUUUGGGGGGACUAUGUGAACAGCUGAUGGUCCCAGUGACAGAACAGUAAGUGGACUUCAAAGGGGCCCCUGAGUCCUGGGGCUCCGGGCUUUGCUGCACAAGUUGGUAGGGCCCCCAACCCCACCUCAUAGGGCCAUUCCACUCUAUGCUCAUGUCAAAGCCGGUCAAUUAAAGCCACGUGGCGAGUGCACAGAGCUUUAGUUUACAGUGAGCCUUUGCAAACUUACUCCAGCCCUAGAAGGUAAGGUGUCCUGGAAUGAGUAUCCCAUUUCACAGAAGCCAGGGGUGGAUUGGUAACCAAAGCCGUAAGCAGAGGCUCAGAAAUUCAAAAGAAGAAGGUUAGGUCAGUAUAAAAUGGCUGCCACUCCCUCUGCCUUUGGAAAAGUACUUCAACUACAAAGAAGUCAACUACUAACUCCAAGGAGAGCAGAAAGGAAAGCAGUUGCUAUGGCAACAUCUCUGGCAGCCUAUUUUCCAUCUUCCUCUGGUUCAAAACAACAGCUUCCAGCAGGUUCUGGCUGGGGGGUAGGGAAGGUCUAACUCCAGCCCAGAAACAGCUCUUGGCCAAUCUCCUGCUAGAUUUCAGUGGCAAGAGAAGGUGGCAGCCAAUGAAGAGGCCUGGAGCUUGUGUCAUCGGCCUCUAGCCAGGUUGGAAUAAGCAGAAGGCAGGCACACGUGACCGUUUCCAUGGUGACCUCAGUUAGCAACCCGAAUGGUCCUGUUUAUGAGCACUGGAAAAUUCCACCCAGCCUCUGGCCUGAUUUUGUUACCUUCUCUGCCUCCUUCCUGCUCCAAGGCAAGGAAGAAGUCACUGCCAAUGUUUAACCCCUUCCUAAGAUGUGCCUGGCUCCCGUCAGAUCUGGGGGUCUGGGAGGCAGCUGCGUGCUUAGUAUGCGAGGGGGGAGGGAAGGUAGUGACAGACACCAUUUGCAGGGCACGUCAUUUGAGCCAGGCACUGUACUCAGCUCCUGACGGCCUCACAACCUGAGAAGGGGGUACUACACGAUUUCAUUCCUAUUUCCCUGAGGACUAAACUUGAUUCAGAGAGGUUAAGUAACUUGCCACCAUCACAGGGUACAGCCAGUGAGGGAGGAACCAGGCUGAGACCAAGUGUGUUGAUCUCUCAAGGCCACUCUCUCCAUGACCCCUCUAUAAGGGUGGAAGAGUUGAAGAACCAGAUGGGGUGGGCGACAGGGACAGAGUGCGGAGGGGGAGAGAUCCAUGGUCUUCUGGGGAGCUGAGAGAAGGCUGAGUGGAAGAACAAGGAGGAGAUACCUGCUUGGCUCCAGGACACCCACAUUGCCAGGCUGGGGCCGACGGCUGGUGGGCAAGGCCAGACAGGCCCCAGGGAAGGCUGUGGCCAGGACCCUGGGCUGAGUCCCCAUCAUUCAUCCUCUCUGGGAUCCUGGCUGGGGUGGGGAGAGAAGUCAAGCCUAUAACCAUUCCUGCCAAACUCCUGCUGGGGAAAUGCCAGCCUGGGCUGGGGAUGGAUCCUGGGGCCCAGCAGCUGGAACAGCUGGAACCUGGGGUGAGCCUCUCAGCGUCCCCAGCACCAGCUGGAGGUCACACAGGACAGGCUGCGUAGGUGCGGAAUAAGCUGCGUGCAUUGCUGGUCUGAGCCGAGGCGGGGCUGUGGGAAGACUCUGUUUGCAAGGAUAAGCGACAAACAACAAUAAAAGUCAUAUACCAUAGCUCAGGGUAACAACAGGUGAGUCACUGGCGAAGGGCACGAUCACAGGAGUGCUGGUGAGGUCACUGGAUGAUGACAGCCGCAGGCGCCUGUAGGAGGGACGGACCAUUCAGCGGGGAGGGCUUCCUGCAAGGAAGGAGGGCAAGGGGCCUCGAUGUGGCUCCUGAAGAGGCGGCUCCCACUGGCCGGGAGGCGCUGCUGAGUCUAAACUUCCUUGGUUUGUGUGGGCUGCAGCUGAAGAGGCCUGAGGCAGCCUGAGACUGAGUGACACAGAAGGCACUUCUGGCGUGGACAUGUCAGAACUUCAGUCAUGCUGGGCAUUGUGUUGCCAUGGGACACGGGGGCUAGGCCCCCAACUGACGGUCCCAGGGACCCCGGGAUUCCUGCACCUGGGGAAGGCAAAGGGGAAGAAUGAGAGCUUCUGCCACCAUUUCACAAUUCUUGAGCCAGGUCACUCCGUUGGGCCUGCUUCCCCAGAGUAAAGGGCAGAGGAGCUGGGAAUGCAGGGACCAGAAUGAGCUCUGGCCUUAGAGCAACAAGUUACCAAACGGAGCCAAGUGACAUCUCUGCGGAGCUCUCACCCUUUGUCCACAGCUGGGACUCACCGCUGGGAGGGUGGCACAGACCCAUCUCCCGUCUGUGCAGGAGAGUGAGCCCGAGGGCCCUCUGUCCCCAAUUUCAGCCUCCAGCAGUCGCACCCCAUCCUCACUGCUGACCAGGCUGCAAACCCUGGAGUUGCCUUAACCCUCCAAAGAGUUAGGGGGACAUGUUAACGAACACGUGUUCAUCCA